rnacentral:rRNA from 1 species
CCUACGGGGGGCUGCAGUGGGGAAUAUUGGACAAUGGGCGAAAGCCUGAUCCAGCCAUGCCGCGUGUGUGAAGAAGGCCUUCGGGUUGUAAAGCACUUUCAGUGGGGAAGAAAGCCUUGGGGCUAAUACCCUCGAGGAAGGACAUCACCCACAGAAGAAGCACCGGCUAACUCCGUGCCAGCAGCCGCGGUAAUACGGAGGGUGCGAGCGUUAAUCGGAAUUACUGGGCGUAAAGCGCGCGUAGGCGGUCUGAUAAGCCGGUUGUGAAAGCCCCGGGCUCAACCUGGGAACGGCAUCCGGAACUGUCAGGCUAGAGUGCAGGAGAGGAAGGUAGAAUUCCCGGUGUAGCGGUGAAAUGCGUAGAGAUCGGGAAGAAUACCAGUGGCGAAGGCGGCCUUCUGGACUGACACUGACGCUGAGGUGCGAAAGCGUGGGUAGCAAACAGGAUUAGAUACCCGAGUAGUC